AGGACGAACGCUGGCGGCGUGCUUAACACAUGCAAGUCGAACGGUAAGGCCUUUCGGGGUACACGAGUGGCGAACGGGUGAGUAACACGUGGGUGAUCUGCCCUGCACUUUGGGAUAAGCCUGGGAAACUGGGUCUAAUACCGAAUAUGACCAUGGGAUGCAUGUCUCGUGGUGGAAAGCUUUUGCGGUGUGGGAUGGGCCCGCGGCCUAUCAGCUUGUUGGUGGGGUUACGGCCUACCAAGGCGACGACGGGUAGCCGGCCUGAGAGGGUGUCCGGCCACACUGGGACUGAGAUACGGCCCAGACUCCUACGGGAGGCAGCAGUGGGGAAUAUUGCACAAUGGGCGAAAGCCUGAUGCAGCGACGCCGCGUGAGGGACGAAGGCCUUCGGGUUGUAAACCUCUUUCAGCACAGACGAAGCGCAAGUGACGGUAUGUGCAGAAGAAGGACCGGCCAACUACGCGCCAGCAGCCGCGGUAA
rnacentral:rRNA from 1 species